rnacentral:rRNA from 1 species
GCAGUCGAGCGGACAGAAGGGAGCUUGCUCCCGGAUGUUAGCGGCGGACGGGUGAGUAACACGUGGGUAACCUGCCUGUAAGACUGGGAUAACUCCGGGAAACCGGAGCUAAUACCGGAUAGUUCCUUGAACCGCAUGGUUCAAGGAUGAAAGACGGUUUCGGCUGUCACUUACAGAUGGACCCGCGGCGCAUUAGCUAGUUGGUGGGGUAAUGGCUCACCAAGGCGACGAUGCGUAGCCGACCUGAGAGGGUGAUCGGCCACACUGGGACUGAGACACGGCCCAGACUCCUACGGGAGGCAGCAGUAGGGAAUCUUCCGCAAUGGACGAAAGUCUGACGGAGCAACGCCGCGUGAGUGAUGAAGGUUUUCGGAUCGUAAAGCUCUGUUGUUAGGGAAGAACAAGUGCGAGAGUAACUGCUCGCACCUUGACGGUACCUAACCAGAAAGCCACGGCUAACUACG